rnacentral:lncRNA from 1 species
CCAUGGGAAAGGGGCCAAGGAUGUCCAUCCCCCACUGCGCAAAAGGCCAUGGGGCACUCAAGGGUGUGAGCUUGGUGGUGGGCUGUCUCUGGAUGUUGGCAUACCUCUGGCAUCGAUCACACUUUCUGACAUAUUCAAUCGAAUCAUGAUGCAUUAUCGGCCAGUAAUAUCCUUGGCGGAGUAACUUGUGGGAUAAAGAUCUAGCC